CCUACGGGUGGCUGCAGUCGAGAAUCUUCCACAAUGGACGAAAGUCUGAUGGAGCGACGCCGCGUGGUUGAUGAAGUCCUUCGGGACGUAAAGACCUUUUAUGAGGGAGGCGUUACCUCAUGAAUAAGGGGCUCCUAACUCUGUGCCAGCAGGAGCGGUAAUACAGAGGCCCCAAGCAUUAUCCGGAAUCACUGGGCGUAAAGGAUGUGUAGGCGGUUGGAUUAGUCUUUCGUAAAAGCCUCGGGCCUAACCCGGGAAUGCGGUAGAAACGGUACAACUUCAGGAUGCGAGAGGUAAAGGGAACUCAUGGUGUAGGGGUGAAAUCCGUUGAUAUCAUGGGGAACACCAAAUGCGAAGGCACUUUACUGGCGCAUCUGACGCUGAAACAUGAAAGCGUGGGAAUCGAAAAGGAUUAGAUACCCCUGUAGUC
rnacentral:rRNA from 1 species